UGUUACGAAACCACCCAGAUGCUACGAACAUCGAAUUAUGGUCGGAAGACGAACACAUUGACGUCUGAGGGGUACGUAAGUGCACUGUCAUCGUGAUGUAUCAUUUUGUUGAAUGUCUCCUGCGUGAUCCAGACCAAUAUUAAAAGUCGUUAAACUCCGCUUGCUAAAAUGUCAGCCAGCGUCGUAUAUAAACCCCGACAGACGUACGGGUGAAAAGACAGCCAAGCAGGAGAUAUCAUGAGGAUCACUCUCGUUUCAUUCGUGGUUUUCAUUGUCGUGGCUUCUUGUGGCGACUUCGCAUUUGGGUGCAACAGCUGUGACCGCGAUGGAUGCGACAGAUAUGAUCAUAUCCAAGGUCAUUCGUCGUGCAUUCAAGACUGGUGCAAGCUGAUCACCGAGGGCGGCAGCAAAUGCUGCGUCAAGAAGUAGCAAUAAUGUGGACACGGUCGUGGACAAGAGUUCUUCAACGAAAGAGCCAACAGUGCUUCACGGAAAGCUUUUUCUAUACCACCUCACAGAAUAUAGCUGAAUGUCGAAAACCAAGAAAUAAUAAACAUAGACUGAUAUA